rnacentral:lncRNA from 10 species
CGGGAAUGAAGGAAGUGGAAUGUUUAAUAUAGCUCAGAAAUAUAGACAUUAAUGAGACAAGUAGAGGAUAGGUUUGGGAAAUAGAGUAUUCAGCAUAAUUGAACCUGUUUCUGGUUCUCUUGUGUUUUUAUUCUUUAAGUUUAAACUUUAAAAGUUCUGUUCAGCUUCUCACUUCCUUUGACCCUGUCUCCUUGUUACUUUUCCUCUGCCCUGGAAAUCAUAACUAACUGAAAAGUAAGCUUUUCCCUUCAUUGGCUCAUCACUGGCAAGCUAUUUUAAUGUAAAUAUCACCUUAAACUCAAAAAUUUGAUAAUUUUGAAGGUCUCCAUGCUUCUUUUCAAACCUUCAUUCACUUUCUCUUAUCUCUUCCACAGGGAAGGGUAUCAAUUUACUUCUAAGAAUUCCCCAAAAGGAACAAAUGGAAAAUAGAAUUUUAUCUGCUUCAUUUGCAAUGUCACAAGUAUGGAUCAUUUUCAUAAAAUUCAUCUCAUACCCCUGGGAUGAAAGAGUUGAUGAGGUAAUGUGCAGAGAACCUUCAUUGGCAAUUCUGAGAUCAGAUGUGCAGUUUUCAAUAAUCAAUUAUUUGUAGAUUAUUUUCAACUCUACUAAUGUUUCUUAUGCAUCUGAGGAAGACAAAAAUAUUUGCUGUGUGGAAGCUGGAAGGAGGAAGCCUAGGAUGUGGAGAACAUGUAUCAAGCCUGAAAAUGGGCCUAUUUUUGUUUUUUUACUAUUUAACCAAAAUUUGAACCAAUCAGAAAAUUACAGAAAAAUUGAAAGUAUAGUUUAAAUAAACCUUUUCCCCUGAACUGUUUGAGAAUAAGUUGCCAGCAUGCGGGUCCAUCACCCUGAAAUAGUUUGUAUUUCCUACAAAGACACUUAUCUAUAAAACCAUAAUACAAUCAUAAAAGUUAGGCAGUAAACACUGAUACAUUACUAUCAUCUAAUUCACAGAGCCAUUCAAGUUGACAGUUGUUUCAAUAAUGUCCUUUAUAGCGAAAGGAUUCAAUCCAGGAUUAUGCACUGCUUGUAGCUGUCAUGUUUCUUUUUUGUUUCGUUUGAGACAGGGUCUCACUUUGUCACUGAGGCUGGAGUGCAGUGGGGUGAUCUUGGCUCAUGGCAGCCUCGACCUCCUGGGUUCAAGCAAUCCUCCUGCCCCAGCCCCCCCCAAGUAGCUGGGAAUACAGGCAUGCACCACCACACCCUGCUAAUUUUUGUUUAUUUUUUAGAGAUGGGGUUUUGCCAUGUUGCCCAGGCUGGUCUCGAACUCCUGAGCUUAAGUGAUCCGCCUGCUUCGGCCUCCCAAAGUGCUGGGAUUGCAGGUGUGAGCCACCGCGCCCAGCCUCAUGUCUCUUUUGUCUUUGAUCUAGUACAGUUACUCAGUCUUUCCUCAGAUCUCAUCCCUUAGCACAUUUGAAAGUUCCAAGCUAGCUAUUCUGUAGGAUGACCUGCCAUUUUAGUUUGUCUGGUGUUUUAUCAUGAUUAGAUCCAGAUUAUGCAUCUUUGGCAGGAACAUCACAGAAGUGAUACUAUUGCGUCCUCUCAUUGCAUCCUAUCAUGUGAAGUAAGAUUUUUUAAAGAAAUAGAUUUUGUUUUUUAGGUUCACAGCAAAAUUGAGCGGAAGGUACAGAGUUCACAUAUAUCCCCUGCCUUACACAUGCAUAGCCUUCCCCCGUUAUCAACCUCCCCCGCCAGAGUGCUACAUUUGUUACAACUGAGGCCCACAUUGAUGCAUCAUCACCUAAAGUCCACAGUUUAUAUUAGGGUCCAGUCUUGGUGUGGUACAUUCUGUGAGUUUGGACAAACGCAUAAUGACAUGCACCCAUAAUUAUAGUGUCAUACAGAAUAGUUUCACUGCCCUGAAAAAACCCUGUGCUCUGUCUGCUCAUCCUUCCCUCUCCCCUAACCCCUAGUGCCCACCGAUCUUUUUACUGUCUCCAUAGUUUAGGCAAGAUUAUCAUUUGUCCCAGUAUUGAUGAUGGGCUUUU